AUGACGUCAAAUCAGUCAUGCCCCUUAUGACCUGGGCUACAAACGUGAUACAAUGGCUGGAACAAAGGGAUGCGAAGCAGUGAUGUGGAGCGAAACCCAUAAAAACAGUCUCAGUUCGGAUUGAAGUCUGCAACUCGACUUCAUGAAGUCGGAAUCGCUAGUAAUCGCGGAUCAGAACGCCGCGGUGAAUACGUUCGUCGGGGUUU
rnacentral:rRNA from 1 species